rnacentral:rRNA from 1 species
GACGAACGCUGGCGGCGUGCCUAACACAUGCGAGUCGAGCGAGUGGAUCUCCUUCGGGAGAGAAGCUAGCGGCGGACGGGUGAGUAACACGUGGGCAACCUGCCUCAUAGAGGGGAAUAGCCUCCCGAAAGGGAGAUUAAUACCGCAUAAGAUUGUAGCUUCGCAUGAAGUAGCAAUUAAAGGAGCAAUCCGCUAUGAGAUGGGCCCGCGGCGCAUUAGCUAGUUGGUGAGGUAACGGCUCACCAAGGCGACGAUGCGUAGCCGACCUGAGAGGGUGAUCGGCCAAAUUGGGACUGAGACACGGCCCAGACUCCUACGGGAGGCAGCAGUGGGGAAUAUUGCACAAUGGGGGAAACCCUGAUGCAGCAACGCCGCGUGAGCGAUGACGGCCUUCGGGUUGUAAAGCUCUGUCUUCAGGGACGAUAAUGACGGUACUUGAGGAGGAAGCCCCGGCUAACUACGUGCCAGCAGCCGCCGUAACAC